rnacentral:rRNA from 1 species
UUCUUGAAUUUCACAUAAGAAGUAAUUCCUGCCCAGUGACACAAGUUCAACGGCCGCGGUAUCCUAACCGUGCAAAGGUAGCAUAAUCACUUGCCCAUUAAUUGUGGGCUAGAAUGAAUGGACCAACGAAAUAAAAACUGUCUCUAUAAGCAAAAUAAAAAUUAAUCUCUAACUGAAGACUGUUAGAUAUAGUCGAAGGACAAGAAGACCCUAUAGAGCUUUAUUUAAACAAAAAUUUCUUUUUUGUAAAAUUCGGUUGGGGCGACCGGGGAAUACUAAUCAUCCCUUAUUACAAGAUAAAUUAAUCUAUAAACUGACCCUUAACAAAGAUCACUAGAAUAAGCUACCUUAGGGAUAACAGGCUAAUCCUACUAAAGAGUCCUUAUCAAUAGUGGGGGUUGGCACCUCGAUGUUGGCUUAGGGAAUCUAUGUGGCGCAAAAGUCACAUAAAGAUGGUUUGUUCAACCAAUAAUACCCUACAUGAGCUGAGUUCAGACCGGCGUAAGCCAGGUUAGCUUCUAUCCUCGAUAAAUCAAUCUAUUUAUAGUACGAAAGGACCUAAAUAAGAAUAAUACUUAUAACAUAAAUGAUUACAUAUAACGUUUAUUAAACAAAUAAUAAUAAAAACUAUA